rnacentral:rRNA from 1 species
AACGAACGCUGGCGGCAUGCCUAACACAUGCAAGUCGAACGAGACCUUCGGGUCUAGUGGCGCACGGGUGCGUAACGCGUGGGAAUCUGCCCUUGGGUUCGGAACAACAGUUGGAAACGACUGCUAAUACCGGAUGAUGACUUCGGUCCAAAGAUUUAUCGCCUAAGGAUGAGCCCGCGUAGGAUUAGCUUGUUGGUGAGGUAAAAGCUCACCAAGGCGACGAUCCUUAGCUGGUCUGAGAGGAUGAUCAGCCACACUGGGACUGAGACACGGCCCAGACUCCUACGGGAGGCAGCAGUGGGGAAUAUUGGACAAUGGGCGAAAGCCUGAUCCAGCAAUGCCGCGUGAGUGAUGUAGGCCUUAGGGUUGUAAAGCUCUUUUACCCGGGAUGAUAAUGACAGUACCGGGAGAAUAAGCCCCGGCUAACUCCGUGCCAGCCGCCGCAGUAA